GAGGGUAUAGCUCAUGUGGUAGAGCUCAUGCUUAGCAUGCAUGGAGUCCUGGGUUCAAUCCCCAGUACCUCCA
rnacentral:tRNA from 1 species